rnacentral:rRNA from 1 species
CCCCAGACUCCUACGGGAGGCAGCAGUGGGGGAUAUUGCACAAUGGGGGAAACCCUGAUGCAGCGACGCCGCGUGGGUGAAGAAGCGCCUCGGCGCGUAAAGCCCUGUCAGCAGGGAAGAAAAUGACGGUACCUGAAGAAGAAGCCCCGGCUAACUACGUGCCAGCAGCCGCGGUAAUACGUAGGGGGCAAGCGUUAUCCGGAUUUACUGGGUGUAAAGGGGGCGCAGACGGCGAUGCAAGCCAGGAGUGAAAGCCCGGGGCCCAACCCCGGGACUGCUCUUGGAACUGCGUGGCUGGAGUGCAGGAGGGGCAGGCGGAAUUCCUGGUGUAGCGGUGGAAUGCGUAGAUAUUAGGAGGAACACCAGUGGCGAAGGCGGAUUGCUAGACUGUAACUGACACUGAGGCACGAAAGCGUGGGGAGCAAACAGGAUUAGAUACCCCAGUA